rnacentral:rRNA from 1 species
CUACCUAGUGGCGGACGGGUGAGUAACGCGUGAGCAACCUGCCCUUCGGAGGGGGACAACAGCUGGAAACGGCUGCUAAUACCGCAUAACAUAUACUUGAGGCAUCUUGAGUAUAUCAAAGAUUUAUCGCCGAAGGAUGGGCUCGCGUCUGAUUAGCUAGUUGGUGGGGUAACGGCCCACCAAGGCGACGAUCAGUAGCCGGACUGAGAGGUUGAACGGCCACAUUGGGACUGAGAUACGGCCCAGACUCC